UACGUAGGGUGCGAGCGUUGUCCGGAAUUAUUGGGCGUAAAGGGCUCGUAGGCGGUCUGUCGCGUCGGGAGUGAAAACUCAGGGCUUAACCCUGAGCCUGCUUCCGAUACGGGCAGACUAGAGGUAUGCAGGGGAGAACGGAAUUCCUGGUGUAGCGGUGAAAUGCGCAGAUAUCAGGAGGAACACCGGUGGCGAAGGCGGUUCUCUGGGCAUUACCUGACGCUGAGGAGCGAAAGUGUGGGGAGCGAGCAGG
rnacentral:rRNA from 1 species